CGAUGGCUCAGUUGGUAGAGCGACGCACUCGUAAUGCGUAGGUCGUGGGUUCGAGUCCCAUUCG
rnacentral:tRNA from 1 species